UACGAGAGGCCCAAACGUUAUUCGGAAUUACUGGGCUUAAAGAGUUCGUAGGCGGCAUGAAAAGUAGGGUGUGAAAGCCCUCGGCUCAACCGAGGAAUUGCGCUCUAAACUGUCGUGCUAGAGGACCUAGAGGUGAGCAGAACUGAUGGUGGAGCGGUGAAAUGCGUUGAUAUCAUCAGGAAUACCGGAGGCGAAGGCGGCUCACUGGGGGUUUUCUGACGCUGAGGAACGAAAGCCAGGGGAGCGAACGGG
rnacentral:rRNA from 1 species